UUGAACAGCAACGUGAGAACAAUGAGCCUAUACUAGCAAAAAUCCACUCGCUCGUUUUUGAGGCUAUAUACACACAAUGUACCUGAAGCAUCCAAAGAGCACCUGUAUAAAAUUACAACAAAGAUUCAGCAGCACUUCUACUCCAUUAUCUUCAGGUGUUCCCACUUUACUCUACUGACCGAUGUCUCAAUCCUCGUGAAGUUUCGUGAGGCCCUGGAGAACAAAUUCAACACCAUUCUGAAGUUCUGCCAAGAAGUCAACUGUCAUCAAGGCGUGAAAGAUGUUUUGGCUUGUUUUGAACUGGAGGCUUCAGACAAGGCUACAUGCAUUCUUCUCCUUCUGAUGGCGUACUUCAAAGAGCCCAAGGAUGCCAUUGUGCUUGAUGUUGAUCCUUGUGCCACAGCCACUGAUGUAGAAGGGACCGUGAUGCUACCAAGCACCCCUCGCUUGAUUGUUCAAGGUGCUUCUUGGGCAUCAACCCAGAGCCGGGCACAAAAUCUAAGAGGCAGAGAGGUCACAUGAACCAGCAAGUCUGCACUCUGAUUAGGAAGCUCAUUGACUUCGAAUGGAUGUCAAUCUAAUGUAAGCUGUGUUCCAACUUCAGAACGGACGAACGAAACGCUGUAUCUGUGUUAAAGGAACACGCUGACUUUUUGGGACUUUAUCUUAUUCACCGUAUCCCCCAGAGUUAGAUAAGCCCAUACAUACUCUUUUCAUCUCUGUGCGUGCCAUAACUCUGUCUGACUAGUCACUGCUAGCCUAGCUUAACAAAGACUGAAAGUAAAUGGCUCAAGCUUUUGUCUUUUCUUCCCUCUCUCUCCCCCACUCUUAUUUCUCUGUCUCUCCUUCUUUCUCUUUUGACACACAUUCCUGUUACCCAGUGUUAAUCCCUGUUACCCAGUGUUUUAUUCCUGUAGUUAAAUUGUAUUUUACUUCUAAAAAAUAAAAGUUAAAUCACUGUUUGUA